UGUGAAUGAUGACCUUCUUUACCCUGACUCUGACAUGGAGGCAAAAAACUGAUUUAAUGAGCCUGACAC